AAACAACCUCAAACAGUUUCUAAGUAAAUAUCUUCUCGAUGCUAACUCCAUGCAGAUUAUUACUCAUGUUCGGCCUCGAUGUUGCCUCCCUGCCUCGGUUCUUUUCUCUUCUCGAGUGAAUUACUGUCGGUCGUCGCCAAGAUGUCGUUAUUGAUCGUUUUUCUACAGAUACAUCAAGCCCAAUCUACCAAGCCGUCGCCGCAUGUACCGCGAGCGUCGUUAUUGAUCCUUUUUCUUGCUCUUCCAUCCGAAAGAAACAUGUCAGGCUACUCGAGUGACUGUUUCUAUUGUUUUGAUCUGUUCUUGCACUUUUGAAUAUCUAAUCAAGCAACUGAAAGCCUAUUUGAGGUUUGUGGUAGGGAUCGAGGGUUAUCUUUUCUAGAUUAUGUUCUUGCAACUUAAUAUUGUUGUCUCGAUCAGGUGACACUGAGAUCAAUCUGGUGAACAAACCUCUUGAACUGCCUCGAAUUGAUUAGUCUGAUGCUGGUGCAAUCUAUGGACGUGCCUGGGUGCAGGUCAUCCACCUCUGCGGCAGCAACAAGUUUGCACUAUCAGAAAAAUCGAUUGCAGCGUUUUGUAGCGGUAUGUACAUGCUUUCCUCUUUCACAUAGAUUACUAAUUAAUCUGCUCAACGGCACAAUUCUUGAUUAAUUGCCUCGCCGGAAGCGUCCUGCAUUGUACCUCCACAUGGCUCAUCCGUGACUGAUUUUGCAUAUCAUGGUGGCAUGUGCGUACACAAGCAAUUAACUAUAAUUACAAUUGAUUCACUACGUAAUCCCACCUGCUAGCUGGUGUGUAUGACACUUUACAAAGAAAGCAUGUGUGCUAUGUUAUGGUAUUUGUGGUACUAAAAACAUAUUAGGGUUCACUCGGUAUAAAAAAAGACACUUCCUAAAGAAAUAACUUCAGAUUUGAGACAUGUUAUGUCGAGUUUAAUCGUAUCUUAAUCUCAAAAAUGACUUAUCUGAAAAAUAUUGUAACAACAAUAUUCCAGUGUGUAUAAAAAUAUAUUUGUGCUAUGGUAUAGUCUUUUCGGUGCUAAAAUUUCAUUAGGGUUCUAUCUGUAUCAGAGAAAACGACAGUUUAAAAAAAUAUAACCUAAGAUUAAAGACAUAUUAUUUCAAGUUUAAUGGUAUAUGCAUCGAUCUCAAAACUAAUGUAUCCAAACAAUAUUAUAAAAGUAAUAUGCCAGUAUAUAUAAAAAUAUAUGUAUUCUGUGGUUGCGGUAGUAAACAAUAAUUAGAUUUAUUUCAGUAUCAAAGAAAAAGACAAACUUCAGCUCAUUCGUAUCUGUAGAAGUUAUCAGUAUAACUUCAUAUAAUUAAGCACACCUUAACCCCAUUGAAUUCUACAAUGGUUUGUAAUUACUUUAAACGGCUCCAAUUUAUUCUCCAUCAUGCAGAAAAAUAAAGUGGUUACUAAAUAUACAUCCACACUUUUUAUAUGAUUGAUUCCAGAUAUAUAUGCUUUUUUGGUUAACUUAUUUUCGUGCUAUCACAGUCCAAGAGCUGCUAUUGGGUAAUUCCACGUCUGACCUCACUCUUUAUACGUCGAGAUGAACGGCCAUUGCCGAAAUUGUUUUCAAUUUCCUCUUAAUACCCACAUAUUAUAAAACAAGUAUCCGCUGCCUUAAUUUAUAGGUUACAAACUUUUCCGCCCGGGUGUCAUAAAUUAAAGAACAUGUCCCACUAGAGUAUACUAUUUCACUAAUUUAAGAAUUUCAUGUAAAAAUAGCAGAUUCAGUUUGUUAAAACAUUUUAUAACUUAUUAUGUUUUAUAUUUUCUUAGUACGCACUUGGACAAUUAGUUUAUACGUAACUCCACUCAGUGUGUAACUGAGAUGCUCCUUCCAAGGCUCCAAAACACACACGUACGUAAAAUCAACCUUCUCAUGUUUUACAUGAUGUUACCCAUGGAGCAUAAGAUUAGUUUCCAAGUAACAUUCUCUCAUAGACGAUCCCUCUACAUACCUUGCUGUCAUAUCUGAUCUCCAAACUCUCAUGGAUAUUUCUAGCAAAUGAUAUACCUGAUGACAAACAGCAGUGAAUGUAUGAACCAUAUACUAUACCGGAUUUUUGAGGAGAAUAUAAGGGACAUAGACUUAUAAUUUGUAUUUAGACAUAUUUUAAAAAAUAUACUCAUUUAUUAUACUCCAUGGUAUAUAUCUUCCUCUUUGAAAGCAAUCCUGCAGCAUAAAAAAUGCCUCCCUAUUCCCCAAUGCAACAAAAAUCUCUCAAGCUCAAGCAAGCGGGUUGGGGCAUGAAUUCCGUGUGUGCAAGGAGCUUAUUGCAUGAAAAUUGUUUUCCACAUCCUGAUCAAGUUCGUUUUGUCACAACCUAUUUCUUCGUUUUUAUAACUACCCCCACCCCCUCCCCACUUUCAUCAAAAUCCACUAGGGACAGCACCUCGAGACUGAUAGUGUGCCGCUGCCUGAGACAUGCAAUAGACAGCGACCAUCAAUUCAUCUUGAAGGCCAGCGGCAACCGGUAAAUACAUAGCACCAUUGUUUUUAUUUGUUGUGAGCUGAGAGUUGGGUUGUCUAUUGGUGACAAGGAAUAAUUGGGAUGAGUAGGGCAGAAAAAUAACUCCCCAAGAAAAAAACAUGUACAGGUGGUUACAAAAAGUUGCCUUCUAGGAGGUAGUUCAACUCUUAUAGUACCCCAAAGACUGAAAUAGUCAACCAAGAAGUUGUUUAGAUCAUUCUGAGUUCCCAAACAACAUAGAGCUUGGGUACGGGUUUUCCCCACAUUAUUGGUCACUAGGUUUUAGACAGUGGAUUUGGUAAGCACGCAAGAUUUAAUCACAGUAUUAUGAAAUGAAUUGAUAGUACAUUUUUGUGCUAGAAAAUGUACUUAUGUUUUAUUGAAACUAUGUUACCCAAUUAUUAUUGCAAUGAAUAAGUUAGAGAUCUAGGAAACUCGGUCAGUAAACACAGAAAGGAACCUGAAUAUAUCAUUCAUGUAGUCAUGUACUAACUUUUACUUUAAUUUAUAUUGUCAGUAUAGAUUUACCAAACAAUCCCAAAAACUAUAACAAGAAAAUAGAAUACUAGUGUAAUGUAUUUUGUAAAAUAUGCAUGUAUGUAAUUUGUGGAAAAAAUGGAUGAUUUCCUCCACAAUGUAAAUAAUAUAUUAAUGAAAGGAAAAGUAACUUAUUAAUAUUUCAAUGAAAAAUCAUGUUUCUCUUUAAUUUAUAUCUUACAUAGGCUAGCCCGUGCAGAUGCACGGGUUGACGACUAGUUAUAUUAAUCAAGUAUAUCACGAUAGUUAUUUUGUUGAGUUUACUCCCACUACUAUGAAUGAUAAGAAUUUUCCUUGUGUGGAUAGUAAUAAAAAUUAUAUGCAUGUGCAUCAUGAAAAGAAUGUUGUAUGUGAUAGUUAUAUUGUUGAAUUCCUUCAUGAUGCUACUGAAAGUUAUUAUGAGGGAGGAACAUAUGCUUGUAGGAAUUCCAAUAAUAUCAAGUUUCCUCUCUAUGUGUUCAAAGUUUUGUAGUUAUGCUUAUUUUGCUUUCCUAUGCAAGAUAAUUCUUGCUACAAUAAAUUUUUUGCUUGCAAAAUUCCUAUGCAUAGGAAGUGGGUUAUACUUAAAUGUGCUUGUCAUGUGCUUCAUGAUGCUCUCUUGCAUGUUUCAAUUACUACUUUUUAUGUGAGCAUAAUUGAAAUCAUCAUGCCUAGCUAAAAGGCAUUAAAGAAAAGCGCUUGUUGGGAGACAACCCAAUAUUUAUACUUUCUGUUUUUGAGUGUUCACAUGAUUAAUCUGCUGUAUUAAUCAUUUUUAUAGCUUUUAUUUUAGUAAAGUGCCAAGUAAAGCCUUUGGGAUAGUGUGGAUACUUGCUUGUUUGAAUCUGUGCACAAACAAAAACUAUUAUGUCUGGUGUAGAAUUUCUAUGAUUUCACAAGAGCGUGAAAAAAUUCUGACAUUUUUACAUAGAUUUUGUAUGCAAAUGUUGUGAGUUAUCCGAAUUGUUAGAGCCGUGGAAGUAUGCAUUGCAUGCAGAUCUUCACAGACUAUUCUGUUUUUGACAGAUUGUGUUUUUCACACAUAGUUUGUUUGUUUUAGUGUUUCCAUAGCUUAUAUUGUGUGAUAUAAAUUAUGGAAAUGAUAUAAUACAUUAGGAAUCAUCUAAGAACAAUUAUGAAUCUUGUCUUGGCAUUACCUAAGUGAACAAUUAUCACUACUAGGGAAAAGCUUAUACACAGAAUCUUACCAAUAGCGCUUGUAAAAAUAAAACGCUACUGCUAAUUACCAGUAGCGCGUGCACCUGAACCGCGCUACAGAUAAGUGUGUAGCAGGAGCGCGUGUCCUAGGAAAAACGCUACUACUAAACUUCCCACUACUAAGCCGGUAGGCUACGAAUACUAGUAGCGCGUGCCCCUGAACCGCGCUACUGCUACGUUUAUUGUAGCAGCGCGUGCACCUGAACCGUGUUACCGCUAAGUUUAUAGCACUAGCGUGCUUUGCAGAAAGCACUAUAGCUAACUUAGCUAUAGCGUUGUCUCUUUACUCGCGCUACAGCUACUUUUGACUUACCCCUCGCGCGGUUUCUCUCCCUGGCCCCCCGGCCAACACUUCUUCCCCAAAUUCCCUCGCCCCACUUCGCUGCCGUUGCCUCACUUCACCGUCGGCGACCCCCCUCCCUGUGCGCCCCUACCCAGCAGCGGCUACCCCCUGCUUGUGUGCCGCCCCCCUCCCACUUGCUCCCUCCCGGCCGUCGCCCCAGCCCCACCGGCUCUCGCAUCUCGCCCGCGUCGGUGACCCCCUCCCCUUCCACCCCCCUGCCCAGCACCGACAACACCCUCCCCGGCGCCCUCCUUCGCACCCUGCCGCCCGGCACCCCGGCGCCCUCCUUCGCACCCUGGCGCCCUGCACAGUGGCGCCUUCCGGUCAGCUUUUUCUGUUUUUUUCUUCUUUUUUGCUGUUAGGUUUAGUGCUAGAUUAGAUUAAGUUAGUCUAUUGUUUUAGUUAAUUAGUCAUAAUUAAAAUAUGUAAAAAAAGAGGAAAAAAGAGGAAGAACAAAAGAAGAAUAAGUAGAAGGAGGAAGAAGAAGAUGAAGAAGAAGAAGAAGAAGAAGAAGAGGAGAAGGAAGAAGAAGAAGAAGAAGAAGAAGGAAAAGAAGAAGAGGAGGAGGAGGAGGAGGAGGAGGAGGAGGAGAGGAGGAGGAUGUUUUUGCCAGAAUGUUGAUUCAUUUCCGUUCCGGCAAAUUUCACGCACUCUAUUUGUCUAGUUUGUAGCAAAGGUCAUGCCGAAAUUUUUCGUGAAUUUCGGCAUGACUUGUGCUACAAACUAGGAAAUAUCGAGUGCACGGGAUUUGCCGCAAUGGGAAUGAAUCAACAUUCCUGCCAAACAUUUACCUUUUUAUGUCAUUAUUCAUUUUAUUAGGUCUAUAAUUAAUUGACUAGAUUUAAUCAUAGGAAACAUGGCUAGGCAGACGCCUAUUUGAACCUUCUCGAUGAGUAACGGUUCUUCCAGGGCCCACCUGUCACAUCCGAGACUGACACACGCAUAGAGACCGGCGUUGAGACUGACAUCGAUGCCAAGACUGACACCAGUGCCGAGACUGCUGCUGAGACUGACACCGGCGCCGAGACCGGCACCGAGCAUGGAGAAGCCGGUAUAGAACCGAAACCAAAGAGGCAACGGCGCCCAAACAAGCUCAUCACUAUAGACUGGUGGUCAACUACUAGACGACAAUUUUGAGCCAAAAGAGCAUGUGGAAGCGCAAGCGUGCUUCGGCAAUCAAAUAGGCUACAUCCUAUGGGCAACCGCCACCAUCAACGAUGCGAAACUAUGGAAGAUACCAGAUAUGAGGCAGUCCCUCCUAACGAAGCUGUACCAGGUGUUCUUGUUCCCGGGCCAGGAUGAAAUCAGUUAUAAAAAUCUAGAAAAAGACCCGACAAUGAAGAAGAUAAACAGACGCGCCAUGGGCAAGUUUAGCGGCGCAUUGUCUGUCUAGAAAGUAAGGGUGAAAGCAAGGAUCAUCGACAAAAAAGAACCCCACUCCGAGAUUGUAAAGGAUAACCCGACAAUUACGAAAAAGCGGUUUGAAAUAUUCAAGGCGGCUUGCAUUGUCGAAGCCGCCAAAGAAAAGUCGGAGUACAUGAAGGGGCUUCAAGAGAGGAACAUGGGGUGCCACCAACUCGGAAGCCGUGGUUACGUGGGGAAGAGGUCCAUAUGGGCCAAGGAGGACGCGAAAAGCGAAAGUAUGGGCAUCCCAGACCCCUUGGCGGACUUCACCGUCCCGCGGGAGCGUGACGUCCUCAGGGCCCGGUACCAUUGGGACCCAGUGAAGAAGGUUUUCGAGACGGACGCGGUCACGACGGAGUUCAUGAGACUGCUUGUAAUUUUUAGCUUAUGAUCAAUUCUACUGCACCUUUAGACAUAUUUGUGAACGAUCCUUGUUCCUUUUGCAGAGAGAGCAGCACAAGAUCGCGGCCGAAAGUGACUCGCCGUCGGAGGCUUUGGCAUGGCCCAAGUGGGACAACCCAUUCAACCGGGCCUUGAACAUAUUGAAAGGACUCCCGGUGGACACUCGCCACGUGGAAGAAGUACUACCGUGAGACCACGGAGGAGAGAAAGGAAAGACAGAGGUUAAAUGAAGAAAAUAACGACAAGAAGGUUGCGAUUGCGUUCGUAGAAGCGGUAGCUGCCGCAAACAUGAGAUUGCAGCUUCGUAUGGUGUCUUGGUUCCGGAUAUCGUCAGGUGGGGUAGUAAAAAUCCAAAUAAAGAGGCAGCGGACUUUCCGCUUUCCAACUUCUUCGGGAGCAGCUCGACUAUCUUUGCACCAGCACCUGCUCCUGCACCGGCUCCCGCACCUGCUCCUGUGCCAGCUCCUACACCGGCUCCCCCACCUGCUCGUGCACCAGCGCCUGCAUCAGCUCCUGCACCGGCUCCCGCAUCUGCUCUUGCAUCGGCUCUUGCACCAGCUCCUGCACCAGCUCCUGCACCGCCUCCCGCACCUGCUCCUACACCAGCUCCUGCACUGGCACCCGCACAUGCUCAUAGCAGCCCAUCCUCCGUCUCGGACGUGCUCGGCGGUGCUUCGUCUUUGGCUGAGCUCGACGACCUCACGGUACCUGUCACACCGGCCCUCUUCAAUAAAUGUGUAAUGUCCUGUUUUCGUUGCCUUUCGGAUGUCUCACGUCGCAGACAUGUCUUUGCAGGCUGACGUUACCCCUUCACCAUAUUGUACACCAUCCGCGGCCAAAAGAUGGACAUGGGGAAGGCGACGAUAGUGAAGCCGAAAACAAUUGUUCCACAGUCGUCCGAACCCCACUGACGUCUUCAAGGUUUCCGUGGCCAAUGUCAAACCGGGCCACGAGAAUUUGGCUCAUCCAUUACUAGGGGAGACGAUGACGAGACCCCUCGGUGGCUUGGAGAUUGCAAGAGGUGGGUCAUGUGGUGGCCAAAGAGUUUGCUUCAUCUGGAGGCGGUCGGAAGCACACCCACGACCAUGCAGCCUCAGCAAGAUAUGAACAUGAACACCCCACCUACCCAAUUAGCGUCGUCUGUCGUGCCGGGUGAUAGCGGACGGGGUGAGGAAGAGGCUCCAUUAGUCGCAGAUGACGUUGCCGCCAACAAAGAAGCAAUGCAUGAUAUUGAUGUCAUCGAUGAGGAUGACGAUGACACUCUACAGUAUCUCAAUACUGGCGCCUAUGACGACGGAGGAUUGAUGGCUAACAGUAUGAGUACUUAGGGUUUGAGCAUCAUGAGUCAGUGCCUGAAUUGCCACCUCCGGAGGCUGAACGUAUUAUAGACGACCCUCCAGUAGCAAAGAAGCAUAGGAAUAGAGCGAGGAAAGGAAACAAUGAUGCUUCUAUGAUCACUCUAGUUAGGGCAUUUUGGGUACGAUGAACUUUGUAUGAUUAUGAUAUGUUGCUUCUAUUUUUGCCAAGUCUAUCUAUUUCUGUUGCUCAACUAUAUAUAUUGCAUAUCAUCAACUCAUCGUGUGUCGAUGCAGGUGCAUAGAUCAUCGAUGGCGAAGAGUGCUAUGCCAGGAGUAUACGACGAGUGGCCGGAGUGUCAGACCCAGGUGUACAAGUUUCCGGUUUACGAGCGACAGCCAGUAGUUAGUUUAGGUUCACGCAUGUGCGAUAGAGGGAUACGAACUGAGCCUCAAGAAGUACCACAUUAUGUAUGAUGAGACAAGUCAUGUAACUUGUAUAGCUAUAUCGUGAUUAUGACAUGACGAC
rnacentral:lncRNA from 1 species